UACGUAGGGUGCGAGCGUUGUCCGGAAUUAUUGGGCGUAAAGGGCUCGUAGGCGGUUUGUCGCGUCGGGAGUGAAAAUCCAGGGCUUAACUCUGGACUGGCUUCCGAUACGGGCAGACUAGAGGUAUGCAGGGGAGAACGGAAUUCCUGGUGUAGCGGUGAAAUGCGCAGAUAUCAGGAGGAACACCGGUGGCGAAGGCGGUUCUCUGGGCAUGACCUGACGCUGAGGAGCGAAAGUGUGGGAGCGAACAGG
rnacentral:rRNA from 1 species